CGUAGGCUCACGGAAGCCGGCAGGGAACUAGACUCUCAGGCUCCAGUUUGACCCGAAGCGUGACGGCGACGGCGGGAGGCGCGCGCCCAAGUCAAAGGAGAACCCAGGUCUAGCAGGAAGGACCACCCGGCACAGAAUCGGCACCUGGUCGGAAAUUCGACCCAGCCGUAAUCUCGAUGAGCCAGCGGUACGGCCGCCGGUGCUGCCUCUGCGUCUCCAGAAGCCCCGUGCCAAGGGAAGGGUCGGUCGCAGUGCAGUGAGCCCAGUGCUUGGGGCUCAAGUGCGGCGGGCCCAGCGCACGGGGUCCAGGAGCAGCGGGUCCAGGUGCAGCGAGUCCAGGUUCAGGAACGCUCAGGGGUAGCAGGGCCAGCGCAGGGGUCCGGGAGCAUCGGGUCCAAGUGCAGGAGCUCUCAGGUAUGGUGGGCUCCAGUUAAUGGAGUCCAGCAGCAGCGGGUCCAGAAACAGGAGUGUUCCAGUGUGGCAGGCCCAGAUGCACGGACUCAAGAGCAGCGGCCCCGAGUGCAGAGCCUCAGGUGGAGUGGGCCCAAACGUAAGGGGGUUCAGGUGUGAAGAGUUCAGAUGCAGUGGAUCCAAAUCAGUGAUUCCGAGUGUGGCCGACCCAGGUGCAGUGAGGGCCUGUGGCCUAGAGGAGCCCCAUUUUCUGACAGAUCCCCUGUUCAUCUCCAACAGGCUCUGUUCUCCCUCCUCUAAACUGUCACAGCUUCACCUGCUCGGUGUGUUACAUUCUUCAAAAAAGGAGUCCCCCCCAAAAUCUAUUUUUAUGAGGGCAAGUGCGGAAAUAUGCAUUUAGUACAAGUUGUGAUCUUUGAGCUGAAGACGUGUGGGCCUGUUAUUAGAGGAAAAAGCAGUUUUACUGAGGUUUUCACACCAGUAGAACUUUGAUCUGGCUACCCAGUGCAGCAUUAGCAGGAAAGGCAUGGUGUCCAGAGUUGAAUGACAAUAAUGUUACUGUAAAUAUGAGUUGUAUUAGUAUUGAAGUUACCUAUGAAAAAGUUUAUUCAAAUGAUCUUAUUUACAAGGAUGUGUUAUGCUCGCAUUCGGGACCCCCAAAGACCACCAGAGACCCAAGAUCCAUGUAAACAGCAAAGAGGUGCUUAUUGCAAACUAGCUCGGUCCUCCGCGCAUGCGCACACACACAGCAACUGGUGAUGCUGAGAGGCCCCGAGCCCAGGGUUUGCAGCAGUUUUAUACAUUCUUUGGAGAGGGCAGGGACCUCACAUACAUCAUAGCAUCCCUUAGCAAAUCAUCACACACCGCGGGAAAAUCAAAUAACAACUCUAAAACAUGAUUAGCACAUUCCCUGGCGGGAACAAGUUGGGUAGGGGUGAUUGGUCAGUACUAAAGGGGUAUUCAUUUGAACUGAUUGGUUUAAGCCAAGAGGGGUGUUCCUGCUGAACUACAUGGUUUCCCAACAUGUUAUCAACCACCAUAAACUACUGGGAGGGUCAUCUGGCAUCCCGGGUAUUUCCCUGUCUCAUGCUGAUUGGUGGCUGCUAGGGGAUUACUAUGGAUCCCCACCUAGCCUGACUGAGUCAGGGACACCUGGUGAAGCAGGUGAAGUAGAUAAACAACUCAGCAGGGUGUUUGUAGAUAAACAACUCAAACAGUGUUUCUGCUUUGUUUUUAGCAGAUCACUAAAGAUGAAAACUGGAUUAAAUUGGUCUAAUGUAGGAAUAGGAAUACCAAGAUAUAAAAAGCCUUGGUGGAGACAGGGACCAGUCUUUGCUACCCUUUAUCCACAGUUCAGCCUCAGUCCUAGACACUGGGUGGAUUCAAUGCCUAGACUAAUGGGGUGCCAUCUUCUGACUUAGGUUCCUUGAGGCAAACUCAUUUGGGAGGUGACUGAUGAUUUAGCUUUGUCAGACUAGCUCAGGAUGCCUGCGAAGCAUGCCCCUGGCUGUGUUGAGAUGCAUGAAACAAGGAGAGGUCUGAGGUAGAUUCUUUGCCUAUGAGUCUACUCAGGGUGUGGUGGCACAUUCCUGUAAUCCCAGCAACUCUGCAGACUGAGGAAGGAGGAUUACAAUUUCCAGGCCAGCCAGGAAAACUUUGUGAGACUCUUUAUCAAAAAUAAAAAGGACUAGGGAUAUACUCAGUGGUAAAGCACCCUGGGUUACCCAGUACCAAAAAAUAAAAAAAGUUUAUAUUACACUGAAAUGAUAGGUUUGUGUCUGUCUCCACUACUGCACAGGCUAGUUCUUAAUGACCUUUGAUUGCCUAGUGUCUAACACUGUACCUGGUACAUCCUGGGUAUCCAGUCAGUGUUGCUGAACUGAACUACUACUCUUUAUUUUUAUUUAUUUAUUUUGCUAUUGGGGAUUGAACCCCAGGGCGCUCAACCACUGAGCUACAUCCCCAGCUGUUUUUUUUUUUUUUUUUAUUUUUUAAUUUUGAAAUAGGAUCUCACUAAGUUGCUGAGGCUGACCAAGGACCUGUGAUCCUUCUGUUUCAGCCUCCAGAGUUGCUGGAAUUGCAGGUGUGUGGGUUUAAACGUGGUGCAUCUAACAGGAGAAAGUUAUAGUCUAGCUUCAAAGAGAUUCUGUUGUAUAUGUUGGUUCUUUUACUCCCCUCCCUCCUGCUUGUGCUUAUAUUUCCUGUAAAAAAAAAAAAUAAAUAAAUAAAGGAUGACCAGUAUUUCUGUUUGUACAGACUUAAAAUUGAGAAGUUGAACUAUGGUUCUAAAGAGUGGGGUUUUGUAAUGCUAUCUGAGGUCACAGGAGUAUUUUGACCAUAUCACGUUAUUGAUUGAUUUGUAAAUUCCAUGGUGGCAUCUUCAAUGCCUUCACUAGACUCACUUAUAGCAAUCAUGAAUGAUAUUUAUUAAAGCCUUAAAAAUAAUGGUUAACCAUGAAUAGUGGGUCUGAAGUGAAAUUAUGAACACAAUUUUUAUUAGGGGCAUUAGAUGAACUCCUUGAAACUGCAUUGUGAGGUAUAGGUGAACAUUUGUGAAAGCAAAGGACUGUCAUAGAUUUAUGGCUGUCUAGCAUUUUGCACUAGAGGAGACAGUGAUGUGCCCUCCUGUCAGCUGCAUCACUGGCUUCACAGCAUCACAGGUGACAUUUAAUAAGCAAAGCCUUGUAUUUGCCAGUGUUAUAUUAGCCUUUGACACCUUAACUGUACUUAAUUUUGAGUGGAUAGGUAAAAAUGUCUAAUGCUUUUUUAUAUUUUUUAAUUAGUAUUGUGUAUAAUUUUAUAUAAAUGGUUGGGGCCACAGACAUACUGAAAAUACACAAAUAUUUAAAUGGGAAAUUGUAGUGACAUUUUUGUUUGACCAGAACGGUCACUGGGUGGCACUGUUGUAUUAAUGUCAACCUUAGCCUUACACUGAAAAUUUUGCAUUUUUAAAAUAUAAACAGUGAUGGACAUUGAACACGAUGUUUUAGAUGAGAAGAAAUAUAUAUGUUCUAAUUUUAUUGAUCUUAAAACACACAUUCAAAGUUCAGGCUCAAGAGGAAAAGUGUGGAUUUAAGGUAGCUGUCUGCCUUUGCCAUCCUGUGUAUUUUGGCCGGUCUUUUACCCGGGCUCCUUUUCAUCAGUUGCUUGGGAAUUUAGCCAUUUAUUUAUGUUACACUAAACAAGAUCUUUGCUAAGGACAUAAAUUGAAUUUUCAAUUUGAAACCUUAAAAUCCCUGACCUCACUAACCAUGGUGAGCUCCAAACCAGAUGUCAGGAGGCGAGACACGCCAUGUGCUGACCUCUCCACUGUCCUUCCUGACUUUCACUCAAGGCUUGUGUUCUAGUGUACUUGGUGCAGAGAACCUUAGAUUUCAUGUUUUGGAUUUUUUCAACCUUGGUGCUAUGCUAUCUUGUGGUAUUUCCAGUGAUUUCAAGGAAAUUAGAGUUUCAAGAAAGAAAACUUAUGGAUUAAUUCUAAUUUUACCAUUAGUCGUUUCUAACAGUCCUGGAGGUCAGGAAGCCCCCAGUGCAGUGGCUGCGGACCCAGCAACCUGAGAGGCAGCUUCCUGGAUGGUGGGUGGUGCCUGCUGGCCAUGUUCUCACGUUUCCAGUCCAACUGAAAGACUCUUGGCCCUUUUUGAAAGCUCAGCUCCAUACACAAUUUUGACACUCAUGAGCGGGUGGAGAGAACCCUGGAAUUACGGUGGGAAAGCCAGUCCCAGAGCACUCUCACCUUCCAGUGGGGCCUGGCUAGGGCACUCACCCCUUCUAGUCCCCUGGCUUCUCCCUCUGUCUCAGCCUCACCCCUUUGGGACCUGCACGCCUUUGGGACCCAGGUCCUCUGUAAGUCUAGAAACUGGCAGAUUAGAAGUAAGGCAUGGUGUGUUCGUUUGCUAGGGCUGCCACCGGUGCUGCAGGCUGGGCGGCUUAACAGAUUCAUUGUCUCAGUUCUGGAGCCAGAAAUACAAGAUUGAUGUUUCUGCAGGGUUGAUUUCUUCUGCGAGCCAUGGGGUCCCCGUGUUGCACUGAAAAAACCAGCCUCUAUCUCAGAGCAAAGCCUGUCCAAGGAAGGGACAUCACCUUUGUCCUUGGAAAAACCCACAGAGCACUCCUAAGCACAUUCCCACCCUGCUAAGUUGUUUAUCUACAAAUAACAGGAGAGAUCUGCUGCUACUCAGUCAGGCUAGGUGGAGAUCCAUAGCAACCCCCUAGCAGCCACCAAUCAGCAGGAGACAGGGAACUACCCGGGAUGCCAGAUGACCCUCCCAGUAGUUUAUGGUGGUUGAUAACAUGUUGGGAAACCAUGUAGUUCAGCAGGAACACCCCUCUUGGCUUAAACCAAUCAGUUCAAAUGAAUACCCCUUUUGUACUGACCAAUCACCCCUACCCAACUUGUUCCCGCCAGGGAAUGUGCUAAUCAUGUUUUAGAGUUGUUAUUUGAUUUUCCCGCGGUGUGUGAUGAUUUGCUAAGGGAUGCUAUGAUGUAUGUGAGGUCCCUGCCUUCCCCAAAGAAUGUAUAAAACUGCUGCAAACCCUGGGCUCGGGGCCUCUCAGCGUCACCAGUUGCUG
rnacentral:lncRNA from 1 species